rnacentral:rRNA from 1 species
UACGUAGGGUGCAAGCGUUGUUCGGAAUCACUGGGCGUAAAGGGAGUGUAGGCGGGAUCGUAAGUUAGGAGUUUAAUCUACGGGCUCAACUCGUAGUCUGCUUUUAAUACUGCGGUUCUUGAGUAUGGGAGAGGGCGAUGGAAUUCCAGGUGUAGCGGUGGAAUGCGUAGAUAUCUGGAAGAACACCAGUAGCGAAGGCGGUCGCCUGGCCCAAUACUGACGCUGAGACUCGAAAGCUAGGGGAGCAAACAGG